rnacentral:rRNA from 1 species
CGCCAUAGAGGGUGAGAGCCCCGUACGUGGUCGCUAGCCUUUACCGUGUAAAGCCCCUUCGACGAGUCGAGUUGUUUGGGAAUGCAGCUCUAAAUGGGAGGUAAAUUUCUUCUAAAGCUAAAUACUGGCCAGAGACCGAUAGCGCACAAGUAGAGUGAUCGAAAGAUGAAAAGCACUUUGGAAAGAGAGUUAAAAAGCACGUGAAAUUGUUGAAAGGGAAGCGCUUGCAGCCAGACUUGCCUGUAGUUGCUCAUCCGGGUUUUUACCCGGUGCACUCUUCUACGGGCAGGCCAGCAUCAGUUUGGGCGGUUGGAUAAAGGUCUCUGUCAUGUACCUCCUCUCGGGGAGAUCUUAUAGGGGAGACGACAUGCAACCAGCCUGGACUGGGGUCCGCGCAUCUGCUAGGAUGCUGGCGUAAUGGCUGUAAGCGGCCCGUCUUGAAACACGGACCAAGGAGUCUAACAUCUAUGCGAGUGUUUGGGUGUCAAGCCCGAACGCGUAAUGAAAGUGAACGGAGGUGGGAACCUUUCGGGGUGCACCAUCGACCGAUCCUGAUGUUCUCGGAUGGAUUUGAA